rnacentral:sRNA from 1 species
GUUAUAUGCCUUUCUUGUCACUAUUGCUUUUUAUGCUGGGCUACCGCAGAUUUACUCAUUUACCAGCAAUAUAAUCGACAAGCCCGAACAAAUGUCCGGGCUUUUUUU